UGUUACUAAACAGAUGGAGAUUCCGUUCUUCAUCGCGUUAUGGGAUGUCCCAAGUUAACUCCUAUUUAAGCUUUUCUUUUGUAGGCAGAUUCAACUGAUCACAACAACUCUGGAUUCACGGUUUCUGUGCUUUAUUUCAUCGCUGGGAAUCUUAAAGGGAAUAAUAAGAAACGAAGAAGAAGAGAGAGAUGAAGAGGAAGAGGGAGGAAGAUUCACAAGCCAGUGGACCAAAACCAGCAAAUGAGGAGAAACUUGUUAAAUCGAGCAGUAUGGGUCGUCUGAGACCAGACUUCUCUCAUGAUGCAGAAAAGCCUGAGAGUCAUUCGGAUGUGUCUCAAUCAAAGCCGAGGGUCCUGAACAAUCUCCAGCAGAUCAUCUGAACGCCAACAAGACAAACCUCUACGAAUCUCUCACGUUUCUUCAAAUGGAGCUGCAAGAGUUAAUUGUUUACAGGCCCGGCUCCAUCCAAUCAGGAGCUUGGUUCACACCCCUGUCUCACUCCAAAUAACAUCCAGCUGUUGUUCAAUGUUCAGUUCAGCUCCAGGUUUUGAGGGAGAUUUAUCUCUUUGGCAGCUUGGUGUGAAAAUCCCACGUGUUCUUCAGAAAGUAGAGAGAAUUUUUUUACAGAUGUAUUUAAAUUUUUGCACUUCAUUGCAUUGUGUUUUAGGAUUGUCUUUAGAUUUUAUGAAUAAUGUCCUGGCAUUUUUACAGUAUUGCUGUUUUCUGUUUGCACACAGAGCCCAUUUCAGACAUCACUGACCUGAAUUCACUUUUGGGUUUUAUCAUGAGAGAAAAAAACUGCUUUAUAAACCUGCAUUUAAUUAAAAACUAAAGAAAAUGAAAUCGCUUUGCUUAAAUCUGCUCUUGACUUCACUUCUUUAACUUUUAAUAAGAAUUAAGCUAUAUUUUAUUGAUAGUAUUUCAUAUCUAAAUACUACUGCUAAACAUUAAACAGUUUCUCUUUCAUUUGUCUGUUUGUCCAGUUGUAUUUUUGUGCCAUUGCUUGUAAUUUUAUAUUUUUUAUUAUUUUAUUAUUGACUGUUUACUUGUAUUUUUAAAUUAUUUUUUUAAAUAUUAUUAUAGUUUUUUAUUUUAUUUUAUUUGUCCACCAGGAAUGUUCAUUGAUCCCAUCUCAAAGCUGAAGCUGUCUAUCUUCAGAUAUAAUACUGUGAAUGUAUGUAGAUUCAGCUUUAUAACUUUAUAUCUGCUGAACUGUGAAUUGAUGUGUAACUUGAUAAUGAAGAAUCAAACGGCUGAUAAAUGCUCUUCAUUAAUAAUUGUAGGUCAUGUGACUAAAGGCAGAACGUUUUCCUGCUGUUGUUGAUAACAAACACACAUCGUCUGUAACUCAUCUAGUGUAAGACUAUAUUUCUACACUUUAUUGUAAACCUGAUUUUUUUUAAUAUGCGUCACAGAAAGAGUCUUUACUAUAAAACAUUCUGAUGACAGCUAUAAAUAAAUAGCUUAUUAUGAAAAUGUGUUAUCAUUAUUUAUCAUCAGUGCAAGAGUCUUUGACGUCUGUAGAACCACAAAAGUUUCUUUAUAGUAGAGAAAUGUUCAUUUGAUCACACUAAUAAAUGAAUGAUUAUUUUAGGAUCUGUUCCCUGAAAGGUUUCCAAAAUGUGGAAUCGAUGCAAAACAGCAACAACUUUAUUUUAAGAGUGUAACAUAUGUAUUAAAAUCUCUUCAUUUAACUUGCGAUGACACAGUGCUAACUUUAGGCAAAACAUUACAGUAGCAAUAAUCCUGAAUAGAGAUCUUCAAUCAGAAAAUAGAGAUUGUGACUAUGUUGUAUUGCAGUAGGUAAAAUACUAAUAAAAAUAUUUAGACAAUGUUUAUAGCAUCUAUUUUAAGUUUAAAUGUUUUAAUUAAGUGUGCACUUGAAAUGGUUACAAAUUGGAUGCAUGAAAGAAUGAUACGAUGUAAAGUUUUAUGUGCAAACACUUUCUUGCAUCCAAACGAUAAAUAAUGAGGAAC